rnacentral:rRNA from 1 species
AGAGUUUGAUCCUGGCUCAGGAUGAACGCUGGCGGCGUGCUUAACACAUGCAAGUCGAACGGUGAAGCCAAGCUUGCUUGGUGGAUCAGUGGCGAACGGGUGAGUAACACGUGAGCAACCUGCCCUGAACUCUGGGAUAAGCGCUGGAAACGGCGUCUAAUACUGGAUACGAGACGUGGCCGCAUGGUCAACGUUUGGAAAGAUUUUUUGGUUCAGGAUGGGCUCGCGGCCUAUCAGCUUGUUGGUGAGGUAAUGGCUCACCAAGGCGUCGACGGGUAGCCGGCCUGAGAGGGUGACCGGCCACACUGGGACUGAGACACGGCCCAGACUCCUACGGGAGGCAGCAGUGGGGAAUAUUGCACAAUGGGCGAAAGCCUGAUGCAGCAACGCCGCGUGAGGGAUGACGGCCUUCGGGUUGUAAACCUCUUUUAGCAAGGAAGAAGCGAAAGUGACGGUACUUGCAGAAAAAGCACCGGCUAACUACGUG